CGGUCCAGACUCCUACGGGAGGCAGCAGUGGGGAAUAUUGCACAAUGGGCGCAAGCCUGAUGCAGCCAUGCCGCGUGUGUGAAGAAGGCCUUCGGGUUGUAAAGCACUUUCAGCGGGGAGGAAGGCGUUAAGGUUAAUAACCUUGUCGAUUGACGUUACCCGCAGAAGAAGCACCGGCUAACUCCGUGCCAGCAGCCGCGGUAAUACGGAGGGUGCAAGCGUUAAUCGGAAUUACUGGGCGUAAAGCGCACGCAGGCGGUCUGUCAAGUCGGAUGUGAAAUCCCCGGGCUCAACCUGGGAACUGCAUUCGAAACUGGCAGGCUAGAGUCUUGUAGAGGGGGGUAGAAUUCCAGGUGUAGCGGUGAAAUGCGUAGAGAUCUGGAGGAAUACCGGUGGCGAAGGCGGCCCCCUGGACAAAGACUGACGCUCAGGUGCGAAAGCGUGGGGAGCAAACAGGAUUAGAUACCCUGGUAGUCCACGCCGUAAACGAUGUCGAUUUGGAGGUUGUGCCCUUGAGGCGUGGCUUCCGGAGCUAACGCGUUAAAUCGACCGCCUGGGGAGUACGGCCGCAAGGUUAAAACUCAAAUGAAUUGACGGGGGCCCGCACAAGCGGUGGAGCAUGUGGUUUAAUUCGAUGCAACGCGAAGAACCUUACCUGGUCUUGACAUCCACAGAACUUUCCAGAGAUGGAUUGGUGCCUUCGGGAACUGUGAGACAGGUGCUGCAUGGCUGUCGUCAGCUCGUGUUGUGAAAUGUUGGGUUAAGUCCCGCAACGAGCGCAACCCUUAUCCUUUGUUGCCAGCGGUCCGGCCGGGAACUCAAAGGAGACUGCCAGUGAUAAACUGGAGGAAGGUGGGGAUGACGUCAAGUCAUCAUGGCCCUUACGACCAGGGCUACACACGUGCUACAAUGGCAUAUACAAAGAGAAGCGACCUCGCGAGAGCAAGCGGACCUCAUAAAGUAUGUCGUAGUCCGGAUUGGAGUCUGCAACUCGACUCCAUGAAGUCGGAAUCGCUAGUAAUCGUAGAUCAGAAUGCUACGGUGAAUACGUUCCCGGGCCUUGUACACACCGCCCGUCACACCAUGGGAGUGGGUUGCAAAAGAAGUAGGUAGCUUAACCUUCGGGAGGGCGCUUACCACUUUGUGAUUCAUGACUGGGGUGAAGUCGUAACAAGGUAACCGUAGGGGAACCUGCGGUUGGAUCACCUCCUUACCUUAAAGAA
rnacentral:rRNA from 1 species